GUGAAUGGAUGGGUAAGUAAAUGGGUGGGUGAAUGGAUGAAUAGAUGGGUGGAUGGAUGGGUGGACAGGUGAAUGGAUGGGUGCAUGGGUGGGUGGAUGAAUGGAUGGUGAAUGGAUGGGUGGGUGGCUAACCCCAUCUCUACUAAAAAUACAAAAAAUUAGCCACGUGUGCUGGUGUACGCCUGUAAUCCCAACUACUCGGGAGGCUGAGGCAGGAGAAUCGCUUGAACCCGGGAGGUGGAGGUUGCAGUGAGCUGAGAUUGUAUCAUUGCACUCCAACCUGGGGGACAGAGCCAGAUUCAUCUCAAAAAGAAAAGGGUGGAUGGAUGAAAUGGCAGUUCACUAGGAGGGGCCCAGAAAGCUUGUGCUGUAAUAUACCCAGAAGUGGCUCCACUUGGGCACACGCCCCGACCCACGGCUCUCUUGUCAGACCUACAGGAAGUGGAGCUCGGAAGGUCGAGGGGGAAGACGAGGCCACGAUGCCCCCAUGAUAGCCUAUGACGCCCUCCUUGCAGCAGGAAACAGCUGGACUGAGCUGUGUCACCGGGCCAUGUUUCAUGGAGGGGAGAGCGCGGCCACGGGCACCAUUGCAGGCUGCCUGUUCGGGUUGCUGUACGGCCUGGACCUCGUUCCCAAAGGCUUGUACCAGGACCUGGAGGACAAGGAGAAGCUGGAGGACCUGGGCGCGGCUCUCUACCGCCUGUCCACAGAGGAGAAGUAAAGCCAUUUCUGCCACUUUCCCCCUAGAGAGCCGAUUCCACCCCGGGGCCCGUAGGGCCCUCUCGCAGCCCCUGGGUGAGGGUGUCUCUGUGAGGCUCCACUGCGGUCUGUGCCUGACUGGCCACAUCUAACUCUCUGUUUCCAAUUUCAGAAUCCUAACUGUUGCAUAAAAUACAUUGUUUGUCCUGCGAGAAUAUUUUCCGUCCUCCACCAUCAACAUUGACACUGCGUAGAUUUGCCGCACUUGGACCUCCAUGCGUGGCACUCACCCGCAGUCUCCUGGACAGGCGCUGUAUUUUAUUCUGUCGCAGAGCUAAUGCUGUUUACUCACUCACUUCAACAACACUAACUGCGGUGGUGGCCUCCAGCAGGCCCCCCCGCUGCAGACCCUCUGUCCUGCCUCUGCCUCCAGGCAUGCGUUUCCCCGUGAGGGCCAAUGCACCUCCCCCCACCCCCCACCCUCCCAUGUCCACAGUGGGUCGUGUGUUCCUGGACAGAGAAACAGUCCACACUGGGGCCUGCGGGACACAUAUAGCAGCAUAUUUUGCUCUUAACCCCACCCACCUUUUUAAUCACACUAGAUUUUAAGAUCAAUCCCUUUUUGAAACAACUCACGGAGAAAACCAGAACAUAAAUGGCCUCCUGCCAGCUCCGGCGUCUCUCUGUGGUCUGCCUUAGUGGGCCAAGUCCAAAUGCAGAGAAGGCCUUUCCCUUCCGCGCCUGCCCCAUCGGGCUCGCUGACGAGGAAGCGCUGUCCCUGUGAUGAGGUUCUCUCUCAGAGAGUCUUGGAAAAGAGACCACUUGCUCUUGUUUAAAAUAAAUUUGGACGUGAUUUUUCCAUGCAGCAUCUGGUGUGAAUAAAACAGCAGUUGACUGAU
rnacentral:lncRNA from 1 species